GGAACACACGGUCUCUCUAAGAGUCAUCCAAAGGAUUAGGAAGGACGUUCAUGCAAUCAAUCAGAUUAACACAUUGUGCACUGAGGUGUUGGAGAUUGGAGUUUAAAUAGCCAAAGGGGUGUGUACUUCCAUGCUAUCUUAAAGGGCCGGUAAUAAAUUAAUAAAAUUCCUGACAAAUAGUCCAAGAAGGACAUUUUUUGGCAUCAAUACAUAUUUUCUAGUUUAUCUGUUGAUUAAUUAACAGGAAUACUUUUAAUCAAAAUAUUAAAUGUUAUGUUUUAAUUAAACUGAGGCAAGUACCUCUGUAUUCUGUUACUUUCUACUUAGGGUUACCCCCUUUCUCUUGCCUCAGCAUCUUUGACAUUCCUAUUUCCUACCCUUUCCCCAUUAAAAAAGAUAAAAAUAUUAUCUCACAACAUCACCAUUCCUAAACCUCCUUCACACCUGCUAACUAGCAAUCUUCUUCACGUCUCUGAAACAGUCAGAACCAAAGUCUUGCAACAAUGUCCUGACUCUCCAAUGGCCAUUGAGGACAAAAACAAACCUAUUACUUAGUCCAAUGAACAUUCUGGUGACCCUCUCAUGGAAGAUAGGAAACUUGCAUUCCAAAAGAUCCCCGAUCCACACAGUCUAGGCCAGCUAUGUAAUUCCUGGGCCCAGUCUCCUAUUGUUGCCCAUGGCUUUGCUCUGCAGCAAUCUACAUGCAUCCCUUUUAUGAUUGCCUCACCCUUGACCCCUUUCAUUUAACUCCUUGAAGCAGAAAAAGCCUUUCAGUGGCGUACACACAACCCAUGGGGCUCCGGUG